rnacentral:lncRNA from 1 species
UGAGGGCUUGGCUAGGGUUGAGAGGUGUGAGACAUACAAACAGUGGCAAGCUCGUUAUAAGAGGGCUGGCUUCAGGCAACUUCCCUUAAAUCAAGAUCUUAUGAAGGAACUAAGAAGCAAAGUUAAAGAAGGCUACCACAAAGAUUUCAUGUUUGAUGAGGAUGGUUGUUGGUUGCUUCAGGGAUGGAAAGGGAAGGUCAUAUGCGCUUGCUCUCCCUGGGUGCCUGCAUAGACCUCUCUCUCUCUACCCCCCAUUAACUUGCAGGUGCAUCUCUGGUGGAUGUGUGAGAACAUGAGACCAAUAGUUCAAGCUCUGCAAGUUUUUUUUUUUUUUUGGGGGGGGGUUGUUGUGGGGGGGGGGGGGUUGGUACUGGCCUAAAACUACAUUUUGAUCAUGAAAUUUUCUAUGCACAUAUAUCUUUUUGUUGGUGAAAUUGUUAAUAUGUUGAUGCAAUUUUCCAUAGAGCUGGCUUGUGCAGAUUUUAUGUUGGAUGGUUAAUAUGGUUUAUUUUUGUGACUUUGACGAGGCUACUGUGUUUUGUUCUUUCAAGUAUCUUUCUCUGGAAUUUAUCGAGGUUACAGGGUCCAAACAGUUGUUCUUGCUGUAUAUUGAUUUUAUACUUGAUAGGGAUUAUGCAAGAGUCUGCAGAAGAUGCUAAAAGAGAUUAAAGUGGACAGAGACAAAAAAGAGGGCUGGCAUCAGGCAACUCAAUGACAAACAUAAACACAGGAGACUAAAUACGUAUAGUUGUUUAAUUCCCUUGUGCUUUAGUAUUCUGUCAUUGAAAAUGUAGCAUUUUGCUCCAUUCACACAACAGAAUCCAGAAAUUUUUGUUGUAUUAUUAACUGAAGUACUAUUUAACGCAAAUGCUAAUCAGAUUCACUUGGGAAUUGGGGAACAUCACCUGUAGAGGCAGAUAUAAUGAUCUGAUUGCAAGUUCAGAUUAACAUUAAUUGAGCGAGGUCUCGAAUAGGUCAAUGUUUACCAUGGCAAAUCAGAAAAAGAUAUCAAGGAAGAAAUAUCAAGCAAAAAAUCCUUGUUCCUACAUGAAUUUUACCAGAAGUUCAUGGCAACUUAUCCUUGAACAGAAUCUGGCAAUUCUCGGAGCAUUUCUUGAAGGAUAAUAUCCGAUUGCAAACUUAUUGUUGGGGCUCUGAAGGUUUUGUCAGUCCACCAAGAGUCAUUUUCUUUAAGCAUUUCACAUUCUGCAAAAGCUACUCUAUCACCUUGAAUUCAUAUUCCUCAUUGUUGAUUUUUAGGAUUAAAAUCUGCUUGAGAUGUUCAGUGAAGUGUAAUGGGAUAGCGUCAGGCAUUAGAUCUACAAAUUCCUUAUCGUCACAGAAGUCGUUCCUAAAUACCUGCCCAUCUGACCAAAAUUAAGGGCAGAAACACAUAAAUGACUGAAUCAGGACCUUAUGAAGGAACUAAGAAGCAAAGCUAAAGAAGACUACCACAAGAGUUUCAUGUUUGAUGAAGAUGGUUUUUGGAUGCUUCAGCGAUGGAAAGGGAAGAUUAUUUGUGUUCCCUCUUGCUGGAUACCUGCAUAGAACUCUCUUGUUGCAGGUGCUUCAAUGGUGGAUAUAAAAUAGAUCAUGCUCUUGAAGUUUUUUGUUGGUAUUGGCCGGAAACUACUUGUGAUCAUGAAAUUUACGCUAAACGUGUAAUUUUUUGUCAAUGAACUUGCUAAUUUGUCGAUGUAAAUUGCUAUAGAGCUGAGUUGUGCAGAUUUAAUGUUGGAUGGGCAUUAUUGUUUACUUUAUUCUUUCAAGCAUCUGUCCUCUAGAACCUUUUGAAAUUACAGGGUCUGA